rnacentral:tRNA from 1 species
UCCCUGGUAGUCCAGUGGUUAGGACUUGGUACUUUCACUGCAAAGAGCCAGGGUUUAAUUCCUAGUUGGGGAA